CCCCUCUCAGGAUCACACCUGGAGAGUUUCUAGUACUCUACCAGUCUCUGCUAUGGGAGGGAGAGUUAAGCAGGGGCAUUACCAUUCCAUUCCUAGCUUGGGCAGUGGCUAGGAAAUGGAAGGCAACCUACUACAGGU